AAAGUGUUGAAGCUACAUGAAUUGAUAAACUAUUAAAAAAAAACUAAACUGUUUAAUAAUUAUAGUAGUAUGGUUUUUUAAUUUUCUGCAAUUUUAAUUUUUCAUAGGGAAAAGGUACAAAAAUUGUUGGAAAUAAGAUGAUGUAAAUACAGGUAAUCCUCAUAUAAUAUGGUUUUCUACAACACAGUUUCGUUCUAACACUAUUAGAAAAUUGCAGAAACCCUCAUAUAGUUAUUCAUGUGAAAUGAACAUAAAACUGCUUUCUGUCUUUCGUAAUAUGUCUUCUUAGAAAUAAGCACUCCUCAGCAGUAGGAACAAUAAUAGCAAACUUUAUAGAAGCAGGGAGGAUAUCGAUUGCCCUCGCAGAAGAGGCAUACAUGAACAACAUCCAGGUAGAAUGGGACAAAGCUAAGAUUGUACGAAGAGUAGCCAUGAUGUCACAAGCCCUUCUGCAAGAAAGCAUAGAGAUAACAGCUAGAAAGCACAGUCAAACUCUGAUAAAUGAAGGACCAAUCAAAGAACUACCGGAUGCAUGGAAGUAUCUAAUAGAAAAACGAAGACAAGAUAAUAAGAAAUCAGUAAUACAGAGAAGCGCAGAAAUAAA
rnacentral:lncRNA from 1 species